GCGGGGGUCGCCCAGCCAGGUCAAAGGCGCAGGACUCAAGAUCCUGUCUCUUAGUGAGUUCGAGAGUUCGAAUCUCUCCCCCCGCACCA
rnacentral:tRNA from 1 species